UGUUGCUAAGCUUUAAUUCCCAUUUAUUUCCUUUUCAAAACCCAGCAACCUUUCAUUCUCUUUUUUUUUUUUAAAAAACAGAAGCUUUAACCCCUUCCCCUAGGGUUUGAUUCAACAUGCAGCCGCCUAAACCAUCAUUUAUUUGAUGGCUGACUGUGCGUCAAUGGCGACCGGACCUUGUCAACGGAGGACACGCCCACGGAGAUCGGGUACAGAGUUUGUUGGCAUGCGUAUGGGGUGUGGGCGUGGCGUACGAGGGCUGUGGAGGUAUGAGACUGCUGUAGUGGGGGUAUGGGGCCGCUGUAGUGGAGGUAUGGGGCUGCUUCAUGGUUGCAGUGCAAAACAAAAAGAGGGGGGGACCUAGGGUUGCUGAAAUGUUUUGUGUGUUGGGUGGGCUUUAGGGUUUUUGUAUUAUUUGGGUCAUUUAGUUUUGGGUUUGGGCUUUUCGAUGUGGAAAUUGGGCCUGUUUUGAUUUUUGGACUGUUUAACAUUGUAAAUGGAUUUGAAUUUUAGUUAUGUGAA